UGGGAUGGUUUAGGGGGGCAAGUUAGACUUCCGAAAGUUUCAAAGGUUCGGCCGCCGAACCUCAUGUUCGGCCACCGAACUUGCAUGAGUUUUGAAGGCACUUUAGGCUGCCGAAAGGUGGUCUGCCAGCCCCUAUAUAAGAGCUCCAUGGCCGAAACGGGCGAGUUUUCUCCCCAUUUUCGGCCAUGGUGAGUUCUUGCUCUCCCAUGGUUCAUUUUAGAUGUUUUUCCUUCGAUCUUUCAUGUUUUAACAAGCUUUAUGUUGAUUUGAAGAUAUUUGAACAAAAGAGCGAGUUUUGGAAGCUUGGAGACCAAAGAGUUGAGAUCUCUCCCAUCUCCAAGUUGGAUCGUCUCUCCUCUCGUUCUUUAAGAGGUAAGAGUAGAUCCAUAGUUGCUUUAAUGUUUUAAGUAAGUUUUAUGAAGUUUCUUGGGGUAGAAAGGCAUGUGUAGGUUUAUGUGGAGUUUAUGGGUUUACUGUGUGUUUAUGAGCAAUGUAUGUUGGAUGUGAAUGUUUGAUGUGUUGUAGAUGGGGUUUAGGAUAGUUUGAAGCCCCUAGGAGCUUGUAUGCUUGAGUAUGCAUGUUGUAGAAUAGGUAAAUGCAUGAUUGAAUGAGUUGGGAGGCGUUUAUUGUAACGACCCCAAAAUGGAUCGUCACCGGCGCUAGAAUUCAGAUCGGCUUAUGGCCGCCAGAACCCGUAGCAAGCCAGCUAUACUCUCUGAGUACCUGUAACAUCUCAUACAUGGUCAUACAGUUUCUGUGCAAAUCAAACCUUUUCUCUGGACCAAGACUUAACCUGUGCAUGCACUAUUUCUGUACUCUGUACCCCUGACUAGAGUUUGCUCUAGAUGGGUGGAUUCAUACCUGUUAAGCCUAGUUGUUUUCACAUAUUCUGUAAACUAGUGAUAGAAACAGACCAUGUAUAAAAAAGAUUUACAACACAAAUAUAACUAAGUCAAGCACAAGGCUAACGUUAUACACAACUGCUACAUCUCUUUACUAUUACAUGUCCACAAUAAGCUAUUACAACACACUUCUCUCUUCCUGUAUCUUGCUGGACCUCCCCUGUACACUUUACACUAAACCUGCAAAACUGGGGUUAAGGGAGUGGGAUGAGCUCUAUAGCCCAGUGAGUAGAACAGUAAAGAGGUCAUUAACACAUGCUCUUAUGGAAUGCAUCAUAUCACAGACAAUUCACAUCAAGGGUAAACCUGUCACCAUAUAGUCCCAGUAACUGUUCCGUACCAGGCCGUAGACUGGGGUCCUGGUCUUCCUGUCCUGUAUAUGUAUAUGUAUAUGUGUAUAUAACACCCGUACUUACCAUUUGCCAGGGCGUAGACUGGGCACCUGGUCUUUACUAUACCUGCCAGGCCGUAGAAUGGGGUCCUGGACUUUUCUAUACUUGCCAGGCCGUAGAAUAGGGUCCUGGACUUCCUGUCUGGAACUAUUGGAUCAUUCAGCAUUCACCCACAUCAACAAAUAAGUAUGCAAUGCAACAUCUUCGUGGAUUCUAAUGCAAUCAACCUAUGGCAUAAGUAUGGUGCAUGAAAUAUGUGAAAAGCAUUCAAUGUCUCAAUUAAAACAAGUAUUAAGUUUAGUUCCACUCACCUCUAGCUAUCUGGAUUGACUCUGCAGGCUUUGUAAACUCUGGAGCAGUACUCACUGCUGCUCUCUCUGAUUCCUCUGGUCUGUGCCUACACAGAUAGACUCCAAUGAGGGACCAAAACUAGCUUAUGCACUCUAUUACACUCCCCAAGAAUCCCCUUAAACUCACUCAAACAUCCAUGCAAAGCAUGCAAAGGAAAACUGGACAUGACACUUUCGGCGGCAGGUUCGGCGGCCGAAAGUCCUCUCCAGAGCCGAAACUCAUGCACCUUCGGCAGUCGAAGCUCAACUUUCGGCAGCCGAACCCUUUCGGGGGCAAGUUUCGGGGACCGAAAGGCACUCCAGAGACGAAAGUCUCUAACCUUCGGGGGCACCUUCGGCGGCCGAAACCCCCCUCCAAAGCCGAAAGUCCAAAGGCUUGGGGGCAAGCUUAGGCAACCGAAGCCACAUCCUCAGCACAUUCGGCGGCCGAAGCUUUCUUCGGCGGCCGAAGCUGGGUUCAUCAGCAAGGCAGAACCUUGCUCUGCCUCACGCCAAAAUGCACCAAUCUUCCUCCAACUCAAACACCUCAACUCCUCAACAUGCAUACACCCAAGUAUAUGCUCAAAGGGGUCAGAACCUACCUGAAAACCCCAACAACACAAAACAUAUAACACAUAUACAAGCUUUUCUCACAAAAAUAUCAAAAACACUCUCUUUUACUCUAAUCAUGCAACUCUCCCCCAAAACCUCAAAACUCUUCCAAAAAGCAUAAAAACUAGUGGAGGAUCUUCACUUACCUCUUGAAACCAAGAAGAUGAAUGAUCCUAACGUGGAGUUUGAAGCAACUCUCCUUCAAACUCUCCAAACUUCAAAAUCUCAAGUGUUUAGCUCAAAACCUUUAAAAGAACAUCAAAAUCAAUCAAAUCUUUGCAUGAGUUGAUGAAAACAUGAAGAAAACUUAAGAAGGACAGAGUCUCACCUCAGAAAGUGAAAGGAAGCGGCAAAGCUUAUCCUUUCAACUGACUGAGGGCCUUUUAUAGGGGGCUGGCCACACCACCUUCGGCGGCCACACGUGAAACCGAAAGCCAUGCAUGUUCGGCGGCCGAACCUGGCUUUUCUGCCUUGGUUCUUUUCUCUCAAAAACUCGAUUCUUUUAAACUUGAAAACAUUAAAACAUACUACAUUACUUUAAACAAAACAUAAAACUCACCCUUCUCAAGAUUCUAACAUCCUGGAUUUCACCGGACGACAGGAAUUCCGAUGCCGGACUCUAGCCGGGUAUUACAUUCUCCCCCCCCCCUUAAGAACAUUCGUCCUCGAUUGUUCCUAAACACAGAAACACACAAAAAGGAGGAAACGAACCUUAAAACAGAUACGGAUACUACUGGAGCAUAGACUCCCGCAUCUCCCAGGUACACUCUUCUAAAUUAUGGUGGUUCCACAGGACUUUCACGAUUGGAAUUUCCUUGUUCCUUAGCUGUCUGAUCUGUGUGUCCAGAAUCCGCACUGGCUGUUCUCUAUAGGUGACAUCGCUAAGAAUCUCCACAUCAGGCUCACUCAGAACCUGAUUCGAAUCUGACACAAACUACCGUAGCAUCGAAACAUGAAAGACCGGGUGAAUUCUCUCCAUAGAAGCAGGUAAAUCUAGCUUAUACGACACAUUUCCGAUCCUCUGCAAAAUCUCAAAGGGUCCAAUGUACCGUGGCGCUAACUUACCUUUCUUUCCGAACCGAACCACUCCUUUCAUUGGAGACACCUUCAGCAAUACCAUACUACCCUCCUGGAAUUCUAUCUGCUUUCUGCGUACGUCCGCAUAGCUUUUCUGUCUACUCUGAGUUGUUCUGAUCCUCUCUCUGAUCACGGGCACCACUCUACUGGUGAUCUCUACUAACUCUUGCCCUGCAAGAGCCUUCUCUCCUACCUCUUCCUAGCAAACAGGUGAUCUGCACUUCCUCCCAUACAACGCUUCAUAAGGUGCCAUCCCGAUGCUAGCAUGAUGACUAUUAUUGUAGGCAAACUCCACCAGCGGUAGAUGCUGCCUCCAAGAACCGCCAAAGUCUAACACACACAUUCUGAGUAUAUCCUCAAUGGUCUGGAUGGUCCUCUCUGACUGUCCAUCAGUCUGCGGAUGGAAAGCAGUGCUAAAAUCCAAUCUCGUGCCCAUCGCACUCUGCAGACUUCGCCAAAAUUUCGAGGUGAAUUGAGGUCCUCUGUCUGACACUAUAGACACUGGAACUCCAUGUAGUCUCACUAUCUCAUCUAGAUAAACCUGUGCCAACUUAUCCACAAAAUAGUUACUCCUAACUGGAAUGAAAUGAGCAGAUUUCGUGAGUUUGUCCACAAUCACCCAUAUCGAGUCUAUCCUGUUGGACGCUGCCGAUAAGCCCACUACAAAAUCCAUGGCUAUGUUCUCCCAUUUCCACUCUGGAAUCGGCAGUGGGUUAAGCAUUCUAGCUGGCUUCUGAUGUUCCAGUUUCACCCUCUGACAAACCUCACAGGCUGUCACAAACUGUGCCACGUCUUUCUUCAUGGCUGGCCACCAAUAUACCCUCUUUAGAUCUUGAUACAUCUUGGUGGCUCCUGGGUGAACACUAUACCGCGCAUUAUGAGCUUUCCUCAUAAUGUCUUCCUUCAAAUUGCUACUAGCUGGUACACAAAGUCGACUCCCAUAGCGAAGGAUCCCUUUGCUAUCAAAUCUGAACUCUGCACUGUUGCCUGACUGAACAGUCCUGGCAAAUUUCAUCAAUUCAGGGUCCUCAUGCUGUUUCUGAGCUAUCUGCUCCAGAAACACAGGUGUCACUCUCAUCUGUGCUAUCAACGCACCCGUACCAGACAACUCUAGCUAUAACCCUUCCUCUAUGAGCUUAUAAAGCUCCAUCACUACUGGUCUCCGCUCUGCUGCUAUAUGGGAUAAACUGCCUAGUGACUUCCGGCUUAGGGCGUCUGCCACAACAUUCGCUUUACCCGGAUCAUACUGAAUCUUACAAUCAUAAUCACUGAGCAAUUCUACCCAUCUUCUCUGCCUCAAAUUUAGCUCUCUCUGGCUCAAGAUGUACUGUAAACUCUUAUGAUCAGUGAAGAUCUCACAUUUAACCCCAUAGAGGUAAUGCCGCCACAUCUUGAGUGCGAAGAUAACUGCUGCCAUCUCUAGGUCAUGGGUGGGGUAAUUCAACUCGUGCUUCUUCAACUGUCUAGAAGCAUAAGCAAUCACCCUAUCACUCUGCAUCAAAACACAACCCAAUCCCACUCGAGACGCAUCACAGAACACUGUGAAAUCCUCGUUACUAACAGGCAGAGCUAACACGGGGGCUGAUGUCAAUCUCCUCUUAAGCUCCUCAAAGCUCUCUUCACACUGGUCUGACCAGAUAAAUUUCUGGUUCUUCUGAGUCAGGUUGGUCAUAGGAGCAGCUAUCUUCGAGAAGUCCUGAACGAACCUCCUGUAGUAACCUGCCAGUCCCAAAAAGCUUUUAAUCUCAGUCAUUGUCGUGGGUCUGGACCAGUUAGCUACAGCCUCUAUCUUCUUGGGGUCUACCUCAAUCCCUUCUGCUGAUACCACGUGUCCCAAGAAGGAAAUGCUCCUCAACCAAAACUCACACUUAGAGAACUUGGCAUACAAACCAUGCUCUCUCAGUGUCUGCAGAACUAUCCUUAGAUGCUGGGCAUGCUCCUCUGCAUCUCUGGAAUACACUAAGAUGUCAUCGAUAAAAACAAUAACAAAGUGAUCCAGAUACUCGCUGAAAACUCUGUUCAUGAGAUCCAUGAAUGCUGCAGGGGCGUUAGUCAACCCGAACGGCAUCACUAAGAACUCAUAAUGCCCAUAUCUGGUCCUGAAAGCUGUCUUUGGCACAUCUGCCUCUCUGACUCUCAACUGAUAAUACUCGGAUCUCAGAUCUAUUUUAGAGAAACAUCCUACUCCAGCUAGCUGAUCAAAUAGAUCAUCAAUCCGAGGUAGAGGAUACCUAUUCUUGGUAGUGACCUUGUUCAACUGCCUGUAGUCGAUACAAAGUCUGAGGGAUCCAUCCUUCUUUCUGACAAAGAGCACUGGAGCACCCCAAGGUGAGGUACUAGAGCGGAUGAAACCCUUAUCUACCAACUCCUGCAACUGCUUUUUCAACUCUUGUAAUUCUGUUGGCGCCAUCCUGUAGGGAGGAAUAGAGAUAGGUCUGGUAUCUGGCAGCAAGUCUAUUUCAAACUCUAUCUCCCUAUCAGGUGGUAGUCCUGGUAAGUCGUUUGGGAACACAUCUGGAAAGUCUCGAACUACUGGUACUGCGGCUGGUUCCCUAACCGGACUAUCUAGCUCCCUCACAUGAGCUAGAAACCCCUGACAACCCCUCCUAAGCAAACGACGAGCCUGGAGGGUUGAAAUCAAACCUCUGGGUGUACCCCUCCUGUCUCCUCUGAAGACACACUUUGACCCAUCCUGGUCUCUGAGACUAACUACCUUCUCUCUACAGUCCAAGGUCGCACCAUAUGCAGAUAGCCAAUCCAUCCCUAGUAUGACAUCAAAAUCUGUCAAGUCUAGAAUCACAAGGUCAGCUGGAAGGUAUCUACCCUCUAUGAACACUGGACUGAAACGACAGACUGACACUACCAUUGAUGGGUCACAUUUGGGUCCACUGACCCAGAGAGGAUACUCUAACUCAGAAAUGAUCAAACCCAAUCUCUCUAUGGCUCUCGAAGCAAUAAAGGAAUGAGAAGCACCGGGGUCCAUCAAAGCAUACACAUCAGAACACCCUAUUAUGAGAUUACCUGACACCACUGUGUUCGACGUGUUAGCCUCCUCCUAUGUCAUAGUGAAAAUCCAUGCUGGGGCUACCGGAUUUCCACCUCGGGAACCUGCUGCGGAAGUAGAGGCUGCCCCUCUCCCUCUACCUCUGCCACUACUCUGAGGCAUGACUGGAGUUGCUGGCUGUACUACACUGCCUGAACUCAUCUGCUGGGAUGGUGCAAAAGUCACCUGAGGACAUUCCCGAGCAAAAUGCCCGUCCUGUCCACAUUUAAAACAGGCUGAAGAUCCCAACUGAUAAGCUCCCUUGUGUGGUCUCCCACAUCUUCUACAUACUGAACUGCUUGCGCCAGAGCUUACGCCACUACCUAUUCCCAGACCAGACUUGACUUUAUUCCAGAACUUACUCUUUGUUCCUUUUGCCUUUUCCCAUCUUUUGCUACCUGAAGUUGCUGCACUGGGGGCCUUAGAACCCGAAGCCUGUGCCUUUGACUGUCUCUAAAUAUUGGCACUUGCUUCCAUUUUCCUGGCUGCGUCCACUAUAGAGUGGAAACUCUCUUUUUCUACUGGAAGAAUCAAGGAAGAAUACCUGGGAUGCAAUCUCAUAGUAUAUCUCCUUGCCUUCUUUUGAUCAGUAUCAUAGGCUUGACCCACAUACUGAAGCAAAUCCAGGAACUUAUCUGUGAAUUCAUCAAUACUCAUCUCAUCCGUCUGUUGCAACUGUUCAAAUUCUAUUAUUUUCAUCUCUCUGGAACUGUCAGGAAAAGCCCACCCUGCAAACUCAUUGGCGAACUCUCCCCAUGACAUACUGGCCAUCCUGGGCUCCAUAUAGUUCUUAAACCAUUCUCGAGCCUUCUUACACUUAAGUGUAAACCCCGCCAUUUCUAUUGCUCUACUAUCAUCUGCUCCCAACUCAUCAGUGAUCAUCUUCACAGUUCGAAGAUACUCAAAUGGAUCAUCUCCUGGAUUAAAUUUAGGAGCAUCCAAUUUCAAGUACUCUGUCAUUUGCACCUUACCUCCAGAUGAGCUAGGUUGAUGUCUUUCACCAACAGGGGCGACUGGUUCUGGUUGUGGUGGUGGAGGUACUGGUUCAUUUAGCUCUGGGUGUGCUACACUUGGAUGAGUAGGGGAAGGUGGGUACAUAGGAUAUGGUGGAUAGUAAUGAGGAUAAGGCAUAUAUGGCAUGUAAGUAGGAUAUGGGGCAAAACUAGAGUACUCCGACAUACCUCCCAGCGGAUACUCUAGGUCCUGAGGAAAGGCUGGAUAACCAAACCCUGAGGUCUGAGCGCCUCCCUGCGACUCUCCCAUACCUUCUUCAGAUCUGCCUACACUCAUGCUUUCAUACAUAGACUGGUCAAGCUCCAUAGCCUCCCUCACUUCCUCUGAUCUUCCUCCUCUAACUGUACCUCUUCUGCUCUCGUCUACAGACCUUCUAGGGUCUAUUAACAUACCUUCCCUGCUAGAUCUUUGAGACCUUGCCCUUGGCAAUGCAGGAGAACGAGCAUCUAUGCUCUCACUAUCUGGUGGGACUCCAGUCAAUCGAGCUGAUCGACGAGUUCCUCGCAUGUUAACUCUGGAAAACCAACAAAUAACACAGCACAUCAGCAAGUAAGCAUCACCUAUCAAGAAUGCACAUGCAUAUCAUGGCAUUAUAACAGUAAAUAGACAGGACACAACAUCCUAUCCUAGUGGACAUGAUUCCCUAUUGUGCUUGACUUCCUCUAACCUCUAUGAGCCCGACACUCUCUCUAUAGGUCCGAUCAUAUGAACCUAGGGCUCUGAUACCAAUCUGUAACGACCCCAAAAUGGACCGUCACCGGCGCUAGGAUUUAGAUCGGCUUAAGGCCGCCAGAACCCAUAGCAAGCCUGCUAUACUCUCUGAGUACCUGUAACAUCUCAUACAUGGUCAUACAGUUUCUGUGCAAAUCAAACCUUUUCUCUGGACCAAGACUUAACCUGUGCAUGCACUAUUUCUGUACUCUGUACCCCUGAUUAGAGCUUGCUCUAGAUGGGUGGAUUCAUACCUGUUAAGCCUGGUUAUUUUCACAUAUUCUGUAAACUAGUGAUAGAAACAGACCAUGUAUAAAAAAGAUUUACAACACAAAUAUAACUACGUCAAGCACAAGGCUAACGUUAUACACAACUACUACAUCUCUUUAAUAUUACAUGUCCACAAUAAGCUAUUAAAACACACUUCUCUCUUCCUGUAUCCUGCUGGACCUCACCUGCACACUUUACAUUGAACCUGCAAAACUUGGGUUAAGGGAGUGGGAUGAGCUCUAUAGCCCAGUGAGUAGAACAGUAAAGAGGUCAUUAACACAUGCUCUUAUGGAAUGCAUCAUAUCACAGACAAUUCACAUCAAGGGUAAACCUGUCACCACAUAGUCCCAGUAACUGUUCCGUGCAAGGCCGUAGACUGGGGUCCUGGUCUUCCUGUCCUGUAUAUGUAUAUGUGUAUAUAACACCUGUACUUACCAUUUGCCAGGGCGUAGACUGGGCACCUAGUCUUUACUAUACCUGCUAGGCCGUAGAAUGGGGUCCUGGACUUUUCUAUACUUGCCAGGCCGUAGAAUGGGGUCCUGGACUUCCUGUCUGGAACUAUUGGAUCAUUCAGCAUUCACCCACAUCAACAAAUAAGUAUGCAAUGCAACAUCUUCAUAGAUUCUAAUGCAAUCAACCUAUGGCAUAAGUAUGGUGUAUGAAAUAUGUGAAAAGCAUUCAAUGUCUCAAUUAAAACAAGUAUUAAGUUUAGUUCCACUCACCUCUGGCUAUCUGGACUGACUCUGCAGGCUUUGUAAACUCUGGAGCAGUACUCACUGCUGCUCUCUCUGAUUCCUCUGGUCUGUGCCUACACAAAUAGACUCCAAUGAGGGACCAAAACUAGCUUAUGCACUCUAUUACACUCCCCAAGAAUCCCCUUAAACUCACUCAAACAUCCAUCCAAAGCAUGCAAAGGAAAACUGGAUAGGACACUUUCGGCGGCAGGUUCGGCGGCCGAAAGUCCUCUCCAGAGCCGAAACUCAUGCACCUUCGGCAGCCGAACCCUUUCGGGGGCAAGUUUCGGGGACCGAAAGGCACUCCAGAGAUGAAAGUCUCUAACCUUCGGGGGCACCUUCGGCGGCCGAAACCCCCCUCUAGAGCCGAAAGUCUAAAGGCUCGGGGGCAAGCUUAGGCAACCGAAGCCACCUCCUCAGCACAUUCGGCGGCCGAACCUUUCUUCGGUGGCCGAAGCUGGGUUCAUCAGUAAGGCAGAACCUUGCUCUGCCUCACGCCAAAAUGCACCAAUCUUCCUCCAACUCAAACACCUCAACUCCUCAACAUGCAUACACCCAAGUAUAUGCUCAAAGGGGUCAGAACCUACCUGAAAACCCCAACAACACAAAACAUAUAACACAUAUACAAGCUUUUCUCACAAAAAUAUCAAAAACACUCUCUUUUACCCUAAUCAUGCAACUCUCCCCCAAAACCUCAAAACUCUUCCAAAAAGCAUAAAAACAAGUGGAGGAUCUUCACUUACCUCUUGAAACCAAGAAGAUGAACGAUCCUAACGUGGAGUUUGAAGCAACUCUCCUUCAAACUCUCCAAACUUCAAAAUCUCAAGUGUUUAGCUCAAAAACUUUAAAAGAACAUCAAAAUCAAUCAAAUCUUUGCAUGAGUUGAUGAAAACAUGAAGAAAACUUAAGAAGGACAGGGUCUCACCUCAGAAAUUGAAAAGAAGCGGUAAAGCUUAUCCUUUCAACCGACUGAGGGCCUUUUAUAGGUGGCUGGCCAGAACACCUUCGGCGGCCACACGUGAAACCGAAAGCCAUGCAUGUUCGGCGGCCGAAUGUCACCUUCGGUGGCCGAACCUGGCUUUUCUGCCUUUAUUCUUUUCUCUCAAAAACUCGGUUCUUUUAAACUUGAAAACAUUAAAACAUACUACAUUACUUUAAACAAAACAUAAAACUCACCCUUCUCAAGAUUCUGACAUCCUGGAUUCCACCGGACGAUAGGAAUUCCGAUGCCGGACUCUAGCCGGGUAUUACAUUUAUGCAUAUUGAGCUGAGUUUUUGCCCUUUGGGAAGAACUCAGGUUCGGCAGCCGAAGGCUCUUUCGGCCGCCGAACCUGCCUGUGGAGGCCAACUUUUAGCUGCCGAACCCUGCCCCCGAAAGUGGACUUUCGGCUCUGGAAGGGACUUUCGGCAGCCGAAGGUGCCGCCGAACAUGCAUGAGUUUCGUCUCUGGAGGGAACCUUCGGCCGCCGAAAGUGCCGCCGAAGGUGCAUGACUUUCGGCUCUGGAGGGCCUUUCGGCCGCCGAACCUGCCGCCGAAAGUGCCCUGUUCAGCCCUCCUUUGCAUGAUUUCUAUGAUUGUUUUAAGGUAUUUUAGGGGGUUUUUGGGGAGUAUUCUAGAGUCAUGUUUAUGUAUGUUAGGUCCCUCAUUUGAGUCCACCUGUGUAGGUUUGGACCCGAGGAACCGAGGACCCCAGCAGUGAGUCAGUCGCUUCAGAGUCAUUAGAGCUUCAGCCAGAGGUGAGUAGAAUAAACACUUAUGUUUUAAAGCAAAUAAAUAUAGAUUUGAGCAUGUUCAUGCAUCACGAAUGCCAUGUGAUAUUCUAGGUUGUCUGCAUUAGAAUUCACGAAUAUGUUGCAUUGCAUAAUUUGAUGAUGAUGUGGAUGGAUGUUGGAUGAUCCUUAGUCCUCAAUAUGAUACGAUGUAAUAUGAUACGGUAUGAUAUGGUAUGGAAGUCCGAUUGACCCAUUCUACAUCCCGGCACUAUGUAAGAGAAAGACCGGUUGACCCAUUCUACGUCCCAACACGUUGGAAUGUUAUGAUAUGUUAUGUUUAAGAGAAAGACCGGUUGACCCAUUCUACAUCCCGGCACCUUGGAAUGUAGAGGACUAUUGGUGACAAUACCAUCCUUGAUGUGAAUUGUUUGUGAUGUGUUGCAUCUCAUGAAAGCAUGAAAUUUAAAGUGAAUGUUUAUUUAUUCUGCUCACUGGGCUUUAUAGCUCACCCCUCUCCCUUAACCCCCCCAGGUUUGCAGGUACAGGGUAGACUAAUAGCUCAGCAGGAGUAGAGUCAUGUAUUAUGAAAUAGCUAGAUGUGGACAUGGAUUUGAUGUAAUGUAAAAGUAUGAUAUAGAAAUGUUAUGUAAUGAUGCUUAUGAAAGUUUAGAGUUGUGCUUGACCAUAGUAUUAUGUUAAUCCCUUUCUAGUACAUGAUCUUCUUGUUUAAUGAUGAUUAUUGUAAACCAAACUUAAUUUAUAUUAUGUCACCCCAUUGGAGCAUUGAUGAGGACUCCAAGGUGGGGUUAAUGUUUAUGUUUAUGAAUAGUGCAUGCACAGGUUGAGUUUGGUGAUUGAAUGGAAAGAAAAGUUCAAAAUUUUUGUGUAUGUUGUUGAUCAUGUAUGGGAUUAAACAGGUUCACAGGAUGAAUGUUUGGCUUGCUACGGGUCUCGGCGGCCUUAAGCCGAUCUGGAUCCUAGCGCCGGUAGCGGUCCGAUUUUCGGGUCGUUACAGAUUGGUAUCAGAGCCCUAAGUUCAUAUGGUCGGACCUAGAGUGUCGGGCUCAUAAAUGUUCUAGAAGGUCAAGCACAAUAGGAAAACCAUGUUCACUAGGAUAGGAUGAAGAGUCAUGUCUUGAAUGAUGAUGUGAAAUGCCAUGAUUUUAUGCAUGUGCAUUAAUGAUAUGCUAUGUAUGUGAUGUAUGUGAUGCGGGUUCAUGUGCUUCCACAUGAACCAUUUGAUGCUAAUGUUCUAUGUGAUGUAUGUUGUUUUUCAGAAAAACAGGAUGAGAGGAACUUGUCGAUCGGCACGAUUGACUGGAGUACCACCCUAGGACGAGGGCACUGAUGUCCGUCCUCCUGCAUUGCCUAGGGCAAUGUCAAGUAGGUCCAGCAGAGAAAGAGCAGUAAGAGACCCUAGAAGGUCUUUGGAUCUGGGUAGAAGCAGGUCAGUGAGGGGAACAGUGCAAGGGGAUAUGUCAGAGGAUGUGGGGGAUCAGAUGGAUGUGGAUCAGAGGAGGGAAGGCAGUCUCAGAGUAAGUAUGUCGGAAGAGGGAAUGGGAGAGUCCCAAGGAGGCACUCAGGCCUCGGGAUUUGUUCAGCCACCUUACUACCCACCCUUUUCACAUAAUCCCGGGUAUUCGAUGGGAGGUACAUCGGAUUUUCCCAGUUUUAACCCUUAUCACUCUCAGAUGCCAUACCCACCUUUCUACCCACCGUACCCACAGUACCCAAUGUAUCCACCCCCACCCUACCAUCCAGGUACAGCAAACCCUACCCCAGGGGAUGUUGCACCUCCUCCACCACCAGCAACACCUACUGUCCCAGAAACCCAAAUGCCCAAACCUAGCUCAUCUGGGGGGGGCAAGGUCAAGAUGACCGAUUACAUGAAGCUGGGUGCUCCCCAGUUGGAAACCGGUGAUGACCCGUUUGUGUACCUCGAAAGGGUUAAGACAAUUACAGAUGAGAUAGGAGCUGAUGACAGUAGAGCCAUUCAGAUGGCUGGGUUCACACUAAAAUGCAAGAAGGCCCGAGAAUGGUUUAAGAACUAUGUGAACCCGAGGUUGGACAGCCUAUCAUGGGAGGAGUUUGCAAAUGAGUUUGCAGGAUGGGCUUUUCCUAACAGUUCAAGAGAAUUGAAGAUGAUUGAGUUUGAACAGCUGAGGCAGACGGAUGAGAUGAGUGUGGAUGAGUUCACAGACAGGUUUUUGGAGCUGUUGCCGUAUGCCGGGCAAAAUCUGGAUACAGAUCAGAAAAAGUCAAGGAGGUAUAUUAUGAAGCUCCAUUCCAGGUAUUCCUCCUUGAUUCAGUCAACAGAAAGGGAGAGUUUCCAUGCCAUAGUGGAUAUGGCUCGGAGGUGGAGGCUAGUGCUAUCAUCAAAGGGAAAGUCAAGCAGUUAGUGGCACAGCCUUCUGGUUCCAAGACCCCAGGUGGGGGAAAGUUAGACCCUUCUUCUCUGAGUUCAGGCAGUAAGAGGUGGGGCAACACCACUAGGAAGCCAAAGAAGAACAAGUUCUAGAGCAAGAUCAAGUCAGGUCUGGGAUUAGGAGGUGGCUCGAGCUCAAGUGCAGAUAAUGCAGUAUGCAAGAAGUGUGGAAAGCCGCACAAAGGAGUAUGUCUGGUUGGGACGACAGCCUGCUUCAGAUGUGGGCAGGAGGGACACAUGGCACGGGAGUGUCCUAGGGCAGCUUUUGUGGCAUAGUCUCAGUAGACAGCCUCUGGUAGUAUGGCUCUGUAAUACCCGGCUGAACUCCAGUAUCGGGAUUCCUACCAUCCGGUGGAAUCUCGGGUGUCGGAGACCUCUAGAAGGGUAAAAACCAUGUUUUCAUAAAAUGUUUUAAUGUGUUUUAUGUUUUAAGCAUGAAAGAAAAUGAGUUUUUGCAUGAAAACAACCUUGGAGGAAAACUCAGGUUCGGCCGCCGAACAUGCAUGUGUUUCGGGUGUGCUUUAGGCCCCCGAAGGCAUAAGUGAGGGAAGUCCAGGUUCGACCGCCGAACCUUAUGUUCGGCCGCCGAACAUGGCAUGCAUGCGGAGGCACGUUCGGCUCCCGAAUGUGGCCUGGCCAGCCACCUAUAAAGGGGUCCCUUAGCCGAAAACGGGCGAGUUUUUCUCCCCAUUUUCGGCCAAGGUGAGCUCUCCACCGUCCCUCACCGAUCUUUAGUUUCUUCCUUCCAUUCUUCAUGAUUUUUAUGAGUUUUCACCUUCGUUUUGAAGAUUUCCAAGUAUAAAGCAAGUUUUGGAGCUUUAAGGUUCAAGGAACUCUCUCUCUCCCAUUUUCCGAGCUAGGGUCGUUCUCCUCUCGAUCUUCAAGAGGUAAGGGCCGAUCUUGAGCUUAUUGCAUGUUUUAAGUAAGUUUUAAGUAGAUCUAUGGGGUAGAAUGCAUGUUUAGCUUAUGGUUAGGUUAUGGGUUUAUGUUAUGUUUUUGGGCAAUGUGGAUGUUUGAUGUGUUGUAGAUGGGGUUUAAGAUAGUUUGAAGCCCCUAGGAACUUGUAUGCUUGAGUAUGUAUGAUUGUAGAUUAGGAAAAAUGCAUGUUUGGAUGGUUUUGGGAGGCAAAUGUGCAUGAGGAGCCAAGUUUCUGCCCUUUGACAGAAACCAGGUUCGGCAGCCGAAGGACUUUCGGCCGCCGAACCUGCCAGGGAGGCCAGCCUUUCGGCUGCCGAAGCCUGCCCCCGAAAAGAGACUUUCAUCUCUGGAGGGCACUUUCGGCCGCCGAAGGUGCCGCCGAACCUGUCUGGCUUUCGGCUCUGGAGGGACUUUCGGCCGCCGAACCUGCCGCCGAAAGUGCCCUGUUCAGCCUCCCUUUGCAUGUUUUCCAUGGAUGAUUUGAGGUGUUUUAGGGGGUUUUUGGGGAGUAUUUUUAGAGUUAUGUUCUAGUAUGUUUGGUCCCUCAUUUGAGUCCACCUUUGUAGGUUCGGACCCGAGGAACCGAGGACCCCAGCAGUGACAGCUGCUUCAGAGUCUUGUCAGAGUCAGCCAGAGGCGAGUAGAAUAAACUCUUACGUUUUAAAUAAAUGAAAAACUUUAGCAUGAAUCAUGCAUCAUGAAUGCCAUGUGAUAUCCUAGGUUGAUUGCAUUAGAAUUCACGAAUAUGUUGCAUUGCAUAUCUUGAUGUUGAUGUGGAUGGAUGUUGGAUGACCCAUUGGUCCUCAGUAUGACGAGACACGAUAUGAUAUGAUAUGGAAGAUCAGGUGUGGCCUGCACUACGCCCCUGACACUAUGUAAGUGAAAGUCUGGGUGUGGCCUGCACUACGCCCCCGGCACAGUUGGACAUGUAUGUUAUGAUAUAUGUAAGAGAAAGACCAGGUGUGGCCUGCACUACGCCCCUGGCACAGUUGGACUAUGUAGAGGGCCCUUGGUGACAAGUCCAUCCUUGAUGUGAUAUGGUUGUGAUGUGAUGCAUUACAUGAUAGCAUGUGUUUUAAAUGCUUUAUUAUUCUGCUCACUGGGCUCUAGUAGCUCACCCCUUUCCCCUUAUCCCCCAGGUUUGCAGGUACAGGGUAGACCAGGAAGUCAGCAGGAGUAAAGUUAUUUUUAUGUAAUAGUUAGAAGUUGUGGACAUGAUGAAAUUGUAAUGUAAUGUUCUAUGUAGUCAUGAUAUGUAAAAUGAUAUUGAGGAUUAGAGGUUGUGCUUGACCCUAUGUAUAUGGUAUCCCUUUAAUGCAUGAUCACUAUUAUUAUUGAUGAGAUGAGUAAUCAAGCUUAAUGUAUGUUAUUGAUUACCCCAUUGGAGCAUGUGAUGAGAGCUCCAGUGUGAGGUUUAUGGUUAUGUUAGUGUGCAUGCACAGGUUAAGCUUGAUUUAUGAAAGAAAAAGUUUACAUGUUUAUGUAUUUGUAUGAUCAUGUAUGGGAUUACACGGGUUUACAGGUUGUAUGUCAGGCUUGCUACGGGUCCCGGCGGCCUUAAGCCGAUCUGGAUCCUAGCGCCGGUAGCGGUCUGAUUUUCAGGUCGUUACAGGCUCAACCAGUAGCUCCAGCCGCGACUCAGGCUAGUGGCAGAGGCAGAGGAAGAGGGGCAGCCUCUUCUUCAGCGGGUUUCAGGGGUGAGGGCCCGUCAGCUCCAGCACGAAUCUUCACCAUGACUCAGCAGGAGGCAAACACAUCCAACACCGUGGUGUCAGGUAAUCUCAUCAUUGGUUGUUCUGAUGUGUAUGCAUUAAUGGACCCUGGUGCAUCUCAUUCUUUCAUUGCUCCGAGGGCCAUCGAGAGGUUGGGAUUGAUGGUCUCUGGGUUAGAGUGUCCCCUAUGGGUCAGUGGACCCAAGUGUGACCCGUCAGUGGCAGAGUCAGUCUCCCAGUGUAGUCUAAUUUUUGUGGAGGGAAGAUGCCUGUCUGCCGACCUUGUGGUUCUAGAUUUGAUAGAUUUUGACGUCCUUCUAGGGAUGGAUUGGCUACCUACCCAUGGUGCUACCUUGGAUUACAGAGACAAGGUAGUCAGGUUCAGAUGUCAGGAUGGGUCAGAGGUUGUCUUCAGAGGAGACAGGGGGAGUACACCUAGAGGUUUGAUAUCAGCCCUACAGGCUCGUAGGCUCCUCAGGAGGGGUUGUCAGGGUUUUCUAGCUCAUGUGAGAGAGCUGGAUAGUCAUGUCAGAGAGCCCGCCUCAGUGCCAGUGGUCAGAGAGUUCUUAGAUGUUUUUCCAGACGAGCUGCCAGGUUUACCACCUGCUAGGGAGAUAGAGUUUGAAAUUGAAUUGAUGCCUGGAACUAGACCGAUCUCUAUCCCUCCCUACAGGAUGGCACCAGCAGAAUUGAAGGAGCUUAAGGAGCAGUUGUAAGAGUUGGUAGAUAGAGGAUUCAUCUGACCGAGUACCUCACCUUGGGGUGCUCCAGUGCUAUUUGUGAAAAAGAAGGAUGGAUCUCUCAGACUUUGUAUCGACUACAGGCAGUUGAACAAGGUCACUACCAAGAAUAAGUACCCGUUGCCAAGGAUCGACGAUCUAUUCGACCAGCUAGUAGGAGUAGGUUGUUUCUCCAAAAUAGAUCUGAGGUCGGGGUACCAUCAGCUGAGGAUAAGAGAAGAGGAUGUACCGAAGACAGCUUUCAGGACCAGAUAUGGGCAUUAUGAGUUCCUUGUGAUGCCGUUCGGGUUAACCAACGCCCCUGCAGCAUUCAUGGAUCUCAUGAACAGAGUGUUUAGCCAGUACCUGGAUCACUUUGUUAUUGUCUUCAUAGAUGAUAUCUUAGUGUAUUCCAGGAAUGCAGAGGAGCAUGCCCAUCAUCUGAGGUUAGUUCUGCAGACCUUGAGGGAACAUGGCUUGUAUGCCAAGUUCUCCAAGUGUGAGUUCUGGCUGAGGAGCAUCUCUUUCUUGGGGCAUGUGGUGUCAGAAAAUGGAAUGGAGGUAGACCCCAAGAAAGUGGAAGCUGUAGCUAACUGGCCUAGACCCACUAUAGUGACAGAGAUCAAAAGCUUCUUGGGCUUGGCAGGUUACUACAGGAGGUUCGUUCAGGACUUCUCUAAGAUUGCAGCUCCCAUGACCAGAUUGACUAAGAAGAACCAGAGGUUCGUGUGGACCGAGCAGUGCGAAGAGAGCUUUGAGGAGCUAAAGAAGAGGUUGACUUCAGCACCAGUGUUAGCUCUGCCAGCUAGUAAUGAAGACUUCUUAGUGUAUUGUGAUGCGUCCCAUGUGGGACUGGGUUGUGUGCUAAUGCAGAAUGAAAGGGUGAUUGCUUAUGCUUCUAGACAGCUAAAGAAGCACGAGUUGAAUUACCCUACACAUGACCUAGAAAUGGCAGCAGUAAUCUUUGCACUCAAGAUGUGGAGGCAUUACCUUUAUGGGGUAAAAUGUGAGAUCUUCACAGAUCAUAAGAGCCUGCAGUACAUCCUGAGUCAGAGAAAGCUGAAUUUGAGACAGAGAAGAUGGGUAGAACUGCUAAGUGACUACGAUUGCAAGAUCCAGUACCAUCCGGGUAAGGCGAAUGUUGUGGCAGAUGCCUUAAGCCGGAAAUCACUUGGUAGUUUGUCCCAUAUUUCAGCAGAGAGGAGGCCAAUAGUGAGGGAGUUCUUCGAGCUCAUCAAUGAAGGUCUACAGUUGGAGUUGUCUGGUACAGAUGCUUUGAUAGCCCAAAUGAGAGUGGCACCCGUGUUUCUAGAGCAGGUGGCUCAGAAACAGUACGAGGACCCAGAGUUAGUGAAGAUUGCCAGGACUGUUCAGUCAGGCAAGAACGAAGAGUUCAGAUUUGACAACAAGAGGAUCCUCUGCUAUGGAAACAGAUUGUGUGUACUAGAUGACGUAGGGCUGAAGGGAGACAUUAUGAGAGAGGCUCAUAAUGCCAGAUACAGCGUUCACCCUGGAGCCACCAAGAUGUAUCAAGAUCUAAAGAAGGUUUAUUGGUGGCCAGCUAUGAAAAGAGAAGUGGCACAGUUUUUGUCAGCCUGCGAAGUGUGUCAGAGGGUGAAGCUGGAACAUCAGAAGCCGACUGGAAUGCUUAACCCACUACCUAUUCCAGAGUGGAAAUGGGAGAAUAUAGCUAUGGACUUCGUGGUGGGGUUACCGGCAACGUCCAAUAGAUUAGACUCCACAUGGGUGAUUGUGGACAGACUCACCAAUUCUGCUCACUUCAUCCCUGUCAGGAGUGGCUAUUCUGUGGACAAAUUGGCGCAGGUGUAUGUUGAUGAGGUUGUCAGACUGCAUGGGGUUCCUGUUUCAAUAGUGUCUGAUCGAGGGCCCCAGUUCACCUCUAGGUUUUGGCGGAGUCUGCAGAACGCUAUGGGUACCAGGUUGGAUUUUAGCACUGCUUUCCAUCCACAGACGGACGGACAAUCAGAGAGGACCAUCCAAACAAUAGAAGAUAUGCUUAGAAUGUGCUGGAUUUUGGCGGUUCUUGGAGGCAGCAUCUACCUUUGGUGGAGUUCGCCUACAAUAACAGCCAUCAUGCUAGCAUCGGGAUGGCUCCAUAUGAAGCUUUAUAUGGGAGGAAGUGCAAGUCACCUGUCUGCUGGGAAGAAGUUGGAGAAAAGGCCUUGGCAGGGCCUGAGCUAGUAAAGAUCACCAGCAGAGUGGUGCCCAUAAUCAGAGAAAGAAUCAAGACUGCUGCAAGCAGACAAAAGAGAUAUGCAGAUAUCCGCAGAAGGCAAGUAGAGUUUCAGGAGGGGGAUUUGGUAUUGCUCAGAGUGUCUCCAAUGAAAGGGGUGAUUUGGUUUGGGAAGAAAGGUAAACUAGCUCCACGGUACAUCGGACCCUUCGAGAUCUUACAGAAGGUUGGGAAUGUAUCGUACAAGCUGGAUUUACCUGCUUCAAUGGAAAGAAUCCAUCCGGUUUUCCAUAUUUUCAUGUUAAGGAAGUUCGUGUCAGAUCCAGGCAAGUUUCUUAGUGAGCCUGAUGUGGAGAUCCAAGAGGAUCUCACUUAUGUUGAACAGCCAGUACGGAUCCUAGACACCCAGAUCAGAAAGCUAAGGAACAAGGAAAUCCCGAUGGUGAAAGUCCUUUGGAAUCACAACAACAUCGAAGAGUGUACCUGGGAGACACGGGAGUCUAUGCUCCGGCAAUAUCCUCAUCUCUUCUAAGGUGAGUUUCAUGUGCUUUGUUGUGUGUUUAUGUUUUUAUGCCAUGCUAUGUUUGUUUGGUGAACAUUCGGGGACGAAUGUUCUUAAGCGGGGAAGAAUGUAAUACCCGGCUAGACUCCGGUAUCGGAGUUCCUACCGUCCAGUGGAAUCUCGGAUGUCGGAAACCUCUAGAAGGGUAAAAUCAUGUUUUUAUAAAAUGUUUUAAUGUAUCUUAUGGUUUUAAGCAAAAAGGAAAUUGAGUUUUAAAAGAAAAAGACCAAGGAGACAUUUCCAGGUUCGGCCGCCGAACCUCAAGUUCGGCCGCCGAACGUGGAAUGGUUUAGGGGGGCAAGUUAGGCUUCCGAAAGUUUCAAAGGUUCGGCCGCCGAACUUGCAUGAGUUUUGGAGGCACUUUAGGCUGCCGAAAGGUGGUCUGCCAGCCCCUAUAUAAGAGCUCCAUGGCCGAAACGAGCGAGUUUUCUCCCCAUUUUCGGCCACGGUGAGUUCUUGCUCUCCCAUGGUUCAUUUUAGAUGUUUUUCCUUCGAUCUUUCAUGUUUUAACAAGCUUUAU
rnacentral:lncRNA from 1 species